GGGAAAUAUUACGCAUUAGUUUCUGGGGUUUGCUAAAUUUCCGACAGUGGGAUUCUCUACAGUAUCUGAUCGCCUGUUGGAGAAAAUGUGUUGGGCACAGUCUUUUAAGAACAAAGAUUUUUUUUUUCGUUUGUGUGUGUGUGUGUGUGUGUGUGUGAUUCCAGGAUAAGAAGAGAGACUGGCUUGUCCUAAAUGUUACAUGUAACUUGAUGGAUCAAGACUGGAAUCUAUGUCUAUGUAAUGACCCAUUAGAAUUACAUUACGCCAAAGGGAAAUAGCCUAUCAUAUACUUAUCAAAUCUUAAAUUUUUUCCCAUGCAACCAAUUUUAUAACUGUUAAAAUAAUUUUUCAUUAUUGAUUAUAUAUUUAUUUAUGACGAAGAUAAUGUUGCCAGAUUAUUCUGUUUACAGAAGGAAAGGAAUUUGCUACAUUUGAUUCAUCUCAUCAUAACCAUAUUGGUACCUUUGACGUUGCAAACGCCAGCAGAAGUCAUCAGGGGAGAUACAAAUGCCUUGGAGGUGGGCCCAAAACACUUUCAAUAAAAAGCGAAAACUUUUACAAAACAUUUAAUAGAAAACCGAGAACCAUUUACAUCGAUGUUAUCAAGGAAAGAAGAAACAUGCUGCUAAAAGACUACAGGAAAGUUACGAUGGUCGGAGAUGCUUUCACUUUCGAUUGCUCCUACUUCGACCCACCUCCCAAAGACAUCACCUGGACAAAAGAUGGUCAGCCUCUUCCCAGUAAUUUCGGUGAAUUCAGGGAGAACAACCAGAUGAUAAUGAUCCCCCACCUAGAUCCCACAAUCCACACUGGACAUUAUGUAUGCGAGACUGAAAGGGGGGGCAGAUCUGUAAGGGGAUUUCUCACUCUAUUUGUGCAAGGUAAGU